rnacentral:rRNA from 1 species
GUCCACGCCGUAAACGAUGAAUACUAGGUGUCGGGGGCAAAGCCCUUCGGUGCCGCCGCAAACGCAAUAAGUAUUCCACCUGGGGAGUACGUUCGCAAGAAUGAAACUCAAAGGAAUUGACGGGGCCCGCACAAGCGGUGGAGCAUGUGGUUUAAUUCGAAGCAACGCGCAGAACCUUACCAACCCUUGACAUGGGUAUCGCGGACCCGGAGACGGGUCUUUUCAGUUCGGCUGGAUACCACACAGGUGCUGCAUGGCUGUCGU